AGCUCAAGCGCAAAGAAGGGCGUUUGGUGGAUGCCUUGGCGCCAAGAGGCGAUGAAGGACGUGGCACGCUGCGAAAAGCCACGGGGAGCCGCGAGCAGGCUUUGAUCCGUGGAUAUCCGAAUGGGGAAACCCGGCCCUUAUGGGUCGUCCCUUACUGAAUACAUAGGUAAGGGAAGCAAACCCGGCGAAUUGAAACAUCUUAGUAGCCGGAGGAAAGGACAUCAACAGAGACUCCGUUAGUAGCGGCGAGCGAACGCGGACCAGGCCAGUGGCAUAUCGUUAAGAACCGGAACCGUCUGGAAAGUCGGGCCACAGCGGGUGAUAGCCCCGUACGGGUAGAAAUGCGAUAUGUCCUCGAGUAGGGCGGGACACGUGAAAUCCUGUCUGAACGUGGGGGGACCACCCUCCAAGCCUAAGUACUCCUUGGCGACCGAUAGCGAACAAGUACCGUGAGGGAAAGGUGAAAAGCACCCCUAGCGGGGAGUGAAACAGACCUGAAACCGAAUGCCUACAAGCAGUGGGAGGGGGCAACCCUAACCGCGUACCUUUUGUAUAAUGGGCCAGCGAGUUAGUCUCUCGAGCAAGCUUAAGCCGUUAGGCGUAGGCGGAGCGAAAGCGAGUCUGAAUAGGGCGUCAGAGUUCGAGGGAUUAGACCCGAAGCCGAGCGAUCUAGCCAUGGGCAGGUUGAAGGCGCGGUGACACGCGCUGGAGGACCGAACCCACCUCUGUUGAAAAAGCGGGGGAUGACCUGUGGUUAGGGGUGAAAGGCCAAUCAAGCUCGGCGAUAGCUGGUUCUCCGCGAAAGCUAUUUAGGUAGCGCGUCAUGUAUUACCUACGGGGGUAGAGCACUGGAUGGGCUAGGGGGCC
rnacentral:rRNA from 1 species